rnacentral:rRNA from 1 species
AAUUCCGUGAAUCAUCGAGUCUUUGAACGCAAGUUGCGCCCGAGGCUUGUCCAAGGGCAUUUCCGCUAGAGCGUCACC